rnacentral:tRNA from 1 species
AAGGGUGUAGCUCAGUGGUAGAUUGCAUGCCUAGCAGGCACAAUGUCCUGGGUUCAAUUCCCAGUACUUCUG